AGAGUUUGAUCCUGGCUCAGGACGAACGCUGGCGGCGCGCCUAACACAUGCAAGUCGAACGAGCGAGAGAGAGCUUGCUUUCUCGAGCGAGUGGCGAACGGGUGAGUAACGCGUGAGGAACCUGCCCCAAAGAGGGGGACAACAGUUGGAAACGACUGCUAAUACCGCAUAAGCCCACGGCUCGGCAUCGAGCAGAGGGAAAAGGAGCAAUCCGCUUUGAGAUGGCCUCGCGUCCGAUUAGCUAGUUGGUGAGGUAACGGCCACCAAGGCGACGAUCGGUAGCCGGACUGAGAGGUUGAACGGCCACAUUGGGACUGAGACACGGCCCAGACUCCUACGGGAGCA
rnacentral:rRNA from 1 species